GCGGGUGUAGCACAGUUGGUUAGCGCGUCAGUCUCAUAAUCUGAAGGUCGUGAGUUCGAACCUCACCUCCCGCA
rnacentral:tRNA from 1 species